rnacentral:lncRNA from 1 species
UUUGGACAAGUUUCGAGGUUUUUCUUUGUCUAACUAAUGAAGAACAUCAUUCUUUAUUUCAAGCGUUAAUAUUUAGAGUAAGUUUAUGCAUUCCUUUUACAUAUAUUCUUAAUGUUUUACUUUCAGUUUGAGUAGGUAAAUUUCAUUACCGAGAUUUAAGGGUGUCGAGUGGGUCGGGCCGAGUCGUUCGGGCCGAUUUGACCCGG